rnacentral:tRNA from 1 species
GCCUCCUUAGCUCAGUGGUAGAGCAACGCUCUUGUAAAGCGUAGGUCGUCAGUUCGAUCCUGACAGGGGGCUCCC